rnacentral:pre_miRNA from 1 species
AUAAUACUCCCUCCGUCCAAAAAAGCUUGUCCUUCAAAUGGAUGUAUCUAGCACCAAGUUAGUGCUAGAUACAUCCAUUUGAGGGACAAGCUUGGGACAAGUUUUUUCGGACGGAGGGAGUAGUCA